rnacentral:lncRNA from 1 species
GCACAUACCACCACAGCUGGCUAUUUAUUUUUUGUGGAGAUUUGGGGGUCUCACUAAGUGGCCCAGAUUGAUCUUGAACUCCUGGGCUCAAGGGAUUCUCCUGCCUUGGCCUCCCAAAGAGCUGGAAUUACAGGUGUGAGCCACUGAGCCUGGCCAGAAAUGGCUUUUGUAUGUUUUUUCUGUCUAUUUGUUGCUUUGGAGUAAUCUCAGUCUCUUCCACUUUCAUAUUUAGGUCAAUGUCUCUUGAAAUGAUUGAUCAGCAAUCAGUCAUCCUUGGCUUUAGAUUCUUUUCAAUUUCUAAUAAAAGAUUUUCAUAUGGGAAUUCCUCCAAAUUACGCAUGGUUUAAACUGAAGUAAUUAUUUUUUCAUUAACUAAACAAAUAUUCAUUGAGUGUCUACUAUUUGCCAGCACUAGACAUUCAGUGGUGAACAUAGAGCAUUUGCUCUCCUGGAGCUUAUGGUUGAGCGUGAAGGGAGGACAUUGAGAAAGGAAUGAAAAGGAGCUGAGUGAUCUGAAAAGAGAUUUGAUUCAAUGGGAAUAUACAUAACGGGGAUUUAACAUAGGCUGAAGGCUAAGAAAGACUUCUCUAAUGCCUUCAUAUCUGGAUAACAACUAUGUAAUGCAGACUAUGUGCUUUACAGGUAUUAACUACACCUCACAACAAUACUUGGUAGUAAUAGGAUACAUGGAACUUGGCCAAGUAGGGGAAGUGGGGUACAGUCAGAGAGCAGCUUGUGCUCAGUUGUGUGGGAGAAAAGAGAGUGUGUGACGUGUGCCAGGAACAUUUGAGGACCAGAGAAAAACCCUGUGUGAUUGCAGAUUAGAAAACCAAAGGGAAAAGAGUGUGACGUGUUUUGUAAACAUGUUAAUAACUUGAGGCUUUACUCUAAAGGUGACAGGAAACCAAAGGAAGGGCUUAAACAGAGCUUAAACAUGAUCACAGUGUUUUAAAAAGUACUUCUGGUUGUCAGAUGGAGUAUGGAUUGCUCCAAGGACUAUGUGUGUUUGUGGGUUGGUAGGUGAAUCUGGAUGUUAGGAGAUGAGCCCUGGUGAGAGAUGAAGGUGCCUUAGCUGGAUGGAAGACAGUAAAGGUGGAGGAUCUUGAAUGUGUUGGAGAACAUGUUAGAAGCAGUGGGGUCAAGAGACUAACAAAACCCUUCACCCUGCUGCAAGAGACUCCAGCACUCUGUUAAACUCCUAGCUCUGGUUCCCUGGCAACAGAUGAAGAUGGUGCAUUGCAGUGUUAACAAGCAACAUUGCUCAUGGUCAUAAUGAUUUAUGAUUGAUAAGUUUCAACUACAUUGGAAGAGAUGAUGAAUUGAACUAUAAGCAGCUGAUGGGAACCUCAUGCUUUUGGAUUUCAUAAGUGUCAUAACUCUGCCAACAGUCUUGUCCCUUGUGGGCUCCUUGAAAGCUGUUUACGGAAUCAUCGGGAAAGAUUUUGGCUCCUGUUGGGCGUGCGACUUCUUCUAAGCCAGAAAAGCCUCAACAUCUGUGCAGUGUGGAUCUCAUCUCUGUGCAUAUGGGCUGUGUUAUCCCAAGAGAAAAUAGUCCCCAAUUAUAUGAGUUCAUCCUCAUGAACUCCUGCAAGAACUCCCAUGGGUAUAUCCUGGUGCCUGACAGUGCCUGCUGGUAAGAUGUGGCUCCUGUCCCACAGCCUUCAAAGGAGAUUGGUGGCAAGUGUCAGCCUGAGAGCUUAGUUGAAACUUAGAGCUCCCUCCCCAGAGUACAAGCAUAUUUAAGGAAAUUCAUGAUUGCACAAUAUGAGGGGCAGGGUAGGAUCAAGGAUGACACCAGGUUUCUGUUUUGAGCAACUGAAUGGUGGAGGAGACUAUGCUUGUCUUGACCAGUUGUCUCCAUUUCUUGAAAAAUUGGUUUCUUCACAGAGAGCAACAGAGAUGGAGAAACUUGGAUAUGUUGCUCCCUUUGGAACAUAUCCCUUGGGUAUGUUAGUUCCCUCUCCUAGUCCUUAUUGUCACUUCUCCUUGUGAAUAACUUAUUGUCUUUCCAUUCUUCCAUGAUUUUUCCAAAUUACCUCCUAUAGGAAGCCUCUCUGAAAUGAUGUCCUACUUCCUCUAUACCGCACCACCUGCAUCGUAGUGUGAUGAAGUUGUAUUGAGAGUGUCCCUGUGUCCCUUUUCUUUAAGUCUACAAUUCUCAUGGAUAUAAUCAAUCUCUCUCUCUCAUUAUCAUAUGCUCAAAGCUAGGAUAAAGGUUAGUGCUCAAUAUUUUUAUUUGAAUAAAUGAUCAAGUAAAGGAUUCACAAUUAAGGAGAAUGAGAAAGGAAGAACUAUUCCAGUUUUGGAUACAGGAUUCUUCAAGUUGAGGUGAGGAUGUGAUUUGGACCUUGAACAACUAGUAUUUAGAUGUGCAGAAAUAGGAUGUGAAGAAUAUUUUAGGCCUGGGAAAGCUGGGCAAAAGCACACAGGUGAAAAGUUAUUUAUUAGAUAUUGAAGGAAAAUAUCGAUUUCAUUUUUUUUUUUUACAUCAAGAGCUCUUUCUCAGCUGCUUCUGUACCCAUCAUUAGAAAGGAUUUUUUUCACAUAUUACUUACUCAUGUAUUAUUUAUAAUAUAUAUUAUGUCACCUUCAUUUCUUAUACUUGGCUCAUCUUUAGAUAUCAGGUCUUUAAAAAUAUUGUUAAAUUGGUGUUUUUGCUUUCAAAAUUAAAAAAAUAUAUAGAGAGAAAUGGAAACCACAAAAUAAAAAUCACCCAUUAAUUGAUCAUCCUAGAAUAAUAUCUGAUGACACUAUGUUGUAUUUCUUCCUAGGUUUUGUUUCUGAGGAGUAAAAUUAUUUUCAAAAUAUAAAUUCAUAAAUCUUCUUUGGGUAUUUUGAUAUUUUGUCUAGAGAAAGUCCACAUUGUAUGGUAUCCUCAGUUGCUUUAAUGUACAUGGUGUGCACUUUGUUGCAUUUUUUCAUGUAAGAUUUAAGUGAGAAGAAGUAACCAUUUUCUUUGGAAUUAAGUGAGGCAGUGCCAUAUAGCAAGACGAAUGGGAACCCUGUAUUCAGACAGACCAGGAUUUUAAUUCUGGGUCUAUUUCCUGCUUAUUGUAGUAACUUGGACAGGUUGUUUGUCUUCUCUGCUUUGGUUUACCUAUGUAUUUGUUUGACCUGUCUACCUUGGUUUACUCCUAUAUACAAUAAGGAUAAUAAUCCAUUUGGCUUUAUGGAAAGAAAGAGACAUAAAGACGGAAAUGUGCCUGGUACUAUGUGCCAGUGAAUAUUUGAUGAAUGCCCUGUAUCUGUAAUAAAAAUAAAAGAUUGUAGUGGCCAUCUGCAUUACAGAACAAAAUAAUACAUCUGUCUCAGGUAUCUGGAAGCACUAGCUGCAGAGCGUUUUGCAAGGAAGUUGGACUCACACAAAUCAGCAGCUCUGUACCUCGGGGAGGAAAUUGCAGCUGGUUUUUCCAAAGCAAUUAGUCCCCCCCAUCAUCUCUCCAGUGGAGAACAAAUCUUACUAAUAUGAGAAUGUGAAACACACAGACAUCAUCCCUCUGUUAUGGCUUCAGAGAAUAACAAAAUAAGAGAGUCACUCAUUUUGGUAAUUUUUUUAGUUCUCCACCAGACACUAAACCAUAAGAUCUGUGGCCUUUCAUAUGGAGAAUAUAAAACCUAUAUAUCCAACAUGUGGCCAGAGAGUAAAAUAUGGUACUUGACUCCAAAAUCAGGGACUGUCUUAGCAUUUUAGCAAACAAGCAAAUAAGUAAGAUAAAAAACAUGUAUAAACUUAACUGAUCAGCAGAUGCAUGAGCACUAAGAGCCAAUAGUGUUUAUCCCCUUUCCUACCAAUAACACUAAAGAUGAUUAAACCAAUUCUGAUAGGUUGGAUAAAUUAGCAAUUGUACCUGAAGGUGAAUGUAACUAAUUUCAUAAUUUUUACAGUUCAGUUUUGAUUACACCAAAAUUACAACCUGGAAAAGAGUCAUGAAAAUGACUAGCAGAAAGAAAAUCAGCAUGAAGUGAGAUCGUUCUUCAUUUAAUUAACUUAUUGUGUCUUCACGGAAUUGGUCCAAAUGAUCCAGGUUAUCAGAUUCUUGGACAAAUCAUUGUUUGUAAUAUUCUAUUAUUAUCCUUUUAAUGUCCAUAAGGUAAGAUAUAAUCAUCUCUCUCUUAAUUUUCAUAUUGAACAUUUGUGUCUUCUCUCUUUUUACUUGUUUAGCCUGGCCUAAUAUUUAUCAAUUUUAUUGAUCUUUUCAAAUAGCCAACUUUUGUUUUAUUGAUUUUCUCUGUUGGUUUUCUAUUUCCAGUUGUAUUGAUUUGUCAUGGAAUUGAUUGUAUUUCUUUUCUUAUGACCAAUUUAGUUUUAUAUUGCUCUUCUUUAGUGUUUUAAAGUGAAAGAUUACAUCACUGAUUUUAUAUUUUUCAUUGCUUCUGAUUGCAUUCAUGCUGUAAAUUUCUUUCCAAGUAUUACUCUUGCUGUAUCCUACACAUUUUCAUAAUAUGUAUUUUCAUUUUCCAUAUAGUACUAAUUAAAUUUGAAAAAAAAAGGCAGAAAACAAAAAAAAGACAGAAUAUUUUUCUAUGCAAUACAGAUUAAAUGAUUUCAGUUGUGUCAAAUUGUGAUAAUUCUUACCAACCUAGGGUCAGUAAGAAACAUGAGCAUUUGAGAAGUUCAUAGCCCAAUUGAGCUGGUACUAGAAGCUCUCUUUCUCUUCAUUUUUGGUUUCUUGUACAACAGAUUCUCUGCCUUCAAAGAUGGACAACUUUUUAUUUAACUCUUUAAGGACAUCUGGACUUUAAGUGGACUUUGGUUUUCAUGGAGAAGUAAAGAUGUACUCAAUUUAACAAUUAUUCAUUGAGUAGAUAGGGGCGUAGGGGUGCCAGUUUUCUAACUUGGCUCUACUCUACAGUUUGAUUUGUGGGUAAAAAUGAGAAAGAUGUUUUGAAAAAGACAAUUUCAAUCUCCUCCAAGUUUUUGAAGAUCCACUGUGUCUCAGGCAUUGUGUUAGGCACUCUGAAGACUACAGUGCUGACAGAAGUAAUACUCAGAAAAUUCAUAGUAGAGUAGUGGAUUCAUUUGACACAUAACUAUAUACCAUGAGAUGGAAGUCAAAAAAGUUCCACAGGAGGUAAAAAAAAAAAAAUAAGGUAUUACAGAAAUUCAGAGGAGAGACAAUGAGUCUCACUUAGGGAUAUUAGGUAAAUCUUCACAGAAGGGUAGUCGCUUUUUGCUGAGCUUUGAAAAUUACUCAGAACCUGAAUGUGUAUAGUAAGGGAAAGGUACUUCUACCUCUGCAAAAACAUGAGGUCAGAAAAGCAUGACAAAUGUGCAGGAAACAAUGAAUGGGCCAGUUUGGUUAAAGGGAGAAGAGAAGGAAUACAAUUGGAAAUGUAGCUUCUGUUUUUCAAGAAGCUAAAACAUAACAAAGGCUAGAGUAGGUAAACUCUAUGCCAUGAGUAUUAGGAAGUUAUACGGGACUAAAUAUCAAGGCAAGUUGUGCUGUAGGAAUCUACGAGCCAGAGUAUUGGAGAGACAUGACAGGAAGUUUUUUCCAACGUUGUGAUGGUGAUGUAAGUGGGAAUGUUGGAGGUGGUUUCAACAAGACUUGACAACAAGCUGGAUGAGGGCAGUAAGGGAAAUUCAAAUGAGACUCAAAACAUCAUGAACUGGUUGAUUGAAAGGAUAGCUGUUACAUUAAAAGAAAUGAGAAAGACAAGCAGCUUUUGGAAAGAAAAUCAUAUAUGGAUGUAGGAGAUCGGUCAGGGUGGUGGGAAAAAUUGUAGAAGAUGCAAACCUUCUUGGAAGGCUGGAAGAUUUUACAAAAGCUUUGGAAAAGGAUUUGGCUGAAGGCAGCCAGAUUCUCUUAUCUGGUGAAACUAAUCUAAAUAAGUAAGUUAACAUAGGCCUUGGAACCUGGGCUUUGAUCAUCUGAGUGCAGGACUACUCUCUCUGGGGAGGGGAGGGGACGGGAGAGACCAUGUAAAUUGCCCACAAGUGUGUUGACUCAGAGCCUUUGUGAUUAAAUCUAUACUGAAUAAAUGCCUGCAGUGCCAGCUUGUCAGGGCCACGGCUGCUGACUCUUUACAGCACCCUCCUUGGUGUCUGGUGUCUGUGAGCAGCCUGGUCCCCUAGCCCACUCUUUCACUGGAUACCUGUGUCUGGGUGCAUUUGUUCAUCCGUUGUUCCACCAGGGUCUAUGGGUCGGACCCUGCCUAUGUAGCUCUGGAGGUAUUAAGUGGGGAUGCUAAUAGAACACAAAGUGUGGAAUCAUGAAAGGGGAAUGUAGGAGAAAAUCAGGGGCUGGAGAUACAGCCCUGUGGUCUUGGCAGUUAUCUGAAAGCCCAAAAUUUAAUGGAUUUUUCAAGAAAGAAAUUAUGGAGAGAUUAAAAAAGAUGAUUAAAGAUAAACAUUGGGUGAAUACCUGCACUUAUUCAUUCAGUAAAAAAAAAAAAAAAAAAAGUAGAAGAAUAAAUAGAGACAAAGGAGGAGUGUUGAAUGAGGCCAAGAGAAUUUUGUGGCAUGCCAAUAGAGAAGAGACUUGCAAGGAGAGAAAGUGCCUGUGAAUAUCAAAUAUAUACCUUCAAAUGAUGUGGUGGUUGAAAGAGACAAGAAUUAAGAAAUCCUGCUGUGUCUCACUUUCUAAAGUGAAAUAUAGAAGCAAAGCAACACAUUGGGAAGAGUGUAGACAUUGGAAUCAGAGGAACUAGAGUCAGUUCCGAUCUGGCUGAGCCAAUUAUCGGUCACAUGUUUACAUGCAUGCUACUUUUAAACUUUAAUGGUUUCAGUUUUUGGGUUUUUUGUUUGUUUCUUUGUUUGUUUUUACUUUGCAUGUAAAUCAAGCUAGGUGAAAAAGACCACAAUUACCUCAUUUAUUUGUUUAUUUAUUUACUUUUUUCCUUUUUUGCUAACCUGUGUGACAAGAACAGUCAUUAGCCUUAGAAAGUGCCAGAGCACUUGCUGAUUGAGUGCAUGUUAAAGGUAUGGCAGCGACAUUUUUCUUGCAGAUUUAGUAGUCCCCCAUUCGUAUCCGAUGUUUUUCCCAGAAUAUUUUUUAAAAGAAUGUCAGACAUUCCUAGUAUCCUGUCUUUCUUUCAGGAUCCCAAUUUUCUCCAGGGGAGCAACAUAUGCUGGAUUAAAAAACCGCUCUCCCAGACCUUCUCUGGCUGUUAGGAGGCACUUGUUGCAUGGCCUGUGAGGUAGGGAUGUGGUAUAACCCAGGGAAAAUCUCUCUUAUUUAAUUUAAAAAGCAAAAAAAAAAAAAAAAACAACAACAACAAAAAAAAAUAGUUUUCCAAGAAACCCUCUCCAGGAGACUUCUGCUUACCUCUCAGUGAUCAAAAACCUUUUCACCACAGUUACUUACCACGUCCUACCGAUCCGCAUUCUCGCAAGUGUCCUUCACUCCAUUUACUCUACUGCAUUUUUCACUGUAUUUCUCAUGCCAAAACUUGGGCUUCUCCACCAGUCUGCACACGUUCAUGCUCUCAAUUCUCACAGCCAUCUAUUUCAUUCUCCACUAAACUGUUAGAGGGAUUUCUGUAGAAAUUAAAGAAAUUCCUAUCACUCCUAAAAAAAAAAGAAAAAAUAAUUAUAAUAAUUAAUUGCAAACCAUUAAGCAUUGGUUACUCAUCCUCCCUGUGGAGAGCUGAAUGGAGGGGGAGCAGAUGGAGCAAGGUUCACUCCUGAGGGUCCUGCCAGAGCAAAUGGUCAGGAGAGAACGGUGUCAACAGCUUCAGAGAGGCUAAUCAGUGUGAAUGAUGAGCGUAUCUGUCCCUGGGAGAAGAGCAGGGACCACUUUGUCCAUGGUGCUUGAUUUUGUAUCCCCUAGUGCAUAGCAAAAUGCUCUGUUGAUAACAGAUACUCAGUAACUCUUCGCUAGGCAAAUAGUUGAUUCAGAGAGACCCUGCUGUAAGGUAAUGCACAUAUCAGGAAAAGGAAUAAAGGGUCGAGCGGAAACUGAAAUGGAAGAAAUUGAAAUGGAAUAUCAUGCAAUCUAAUGGUGUGUUGGUGGCAGGCAAUAAACAGGUGUACAUCCUGGUAUAUAGCUGUCACAAAUACAAUGUUACAUAUAUACCAAAAGAUAAACAUCUGAAAAACCAGGAACCAAUGUCAGGAACCAAACCAAAAAAAA